rnacentral:rRNA from 1 species
AGUGAACGCUGGCGGUAGGCCUAACACAUGCAAGUCGAACGGCAGCACAGUAAGAGCUUGCUCUUACGGGUGGCGAGUGGCGGACGGGUGAGGAAUACAUCGGAAUCUACUAUUUCGUGGGGGAUAACGUAGGGAAACUUACGCUAAUACCGCAUACGACCUACGGGUGAAAGCAGGGGAUCUUCGGACCUUGCGCGAUUGAAUGAGCCGAUGUCGGAUUAGCUAGUUGGCGGGGUAAAGGCCCACCAAGGCGACGAUCCGUAGCUGGUCUGAGAGGAUGAUCAGCCACACUGGAACUGAGACACGGUCCAGACUCCUACGGGAGGCAGCAGUGGGGAAUAUUGGACAAUGGGCGCAAGCCUGAUCCAGCCAUACCGCGUGGGUGAAGAAGGCCUUCGGGUUGUAAAGCCCUUUUGUUGGGAAAGGAAAGCAGCAGGUUAAUACCCCGCUGUUCUGACGGUACCCAAAGAAUAAGCACCGGCUAACUUCGUG